GGUGACGUAACUAAUCUCUCUUCUGCCAAACAACUCCAGUUCCCUGGACCGCUGCAAUUAGAACGAGUGGACCUUGCUGACCCAUAAGGGAGAAAGGGAAGGGAGGUGGGGGGAGACACUCAGAGGUUAAGGCGUAGAGGCUGGAGAAGCGGCCCAGGAGGGAAUCUGAGAGCCUCGAAUCGUGAAGGGACGCACAAAGACUUACCAAUGAGACCUACUUGGGAGUGAGAAUGUCUGGCUUCUGGUCGCAGAGCUCCAGAGAAGGUACCGUUUGUACUUUGAAGGGUGCAGCAGUUUUAACUCACAAUGAAAGAAAGCAGACAUUCCAGAAGGGGGAAGUUAAAAUAAGCAGAGAAUAGCAAAUCGUCGAUUCUGGAUUAUUUGCCUACUUAAUUCAACAAAUAAUGGGCAGCUACAGAAGGCUUGUGGAAGACUACUGGAACAAAGCUCUUCAUCAGGAGAAUUUAAAUGGUAGCAGUGAAUAAAAUGGACUGCAGACUACAGGGCAGACUUCUGCACUGAGUAAAAGAUUCACACCUGAAGUAAAGCAGAGACAGCAGGGAUGGAGACCAGGGAAUGAACUCAACCAAGAUUGAAGGGAUUAACUCAACAACACUCCCAUGUAGAGAAUGGGAGGGAGAAUAAAUCAUGGGAGAAUAAAUCAUAAGAAAAAGCAA